AUCAAUAAGCGGAGGAAAAGAAACCAACAGGGAUUGCCCUAGUAACGGAGAGUGAAGCGCAACAGCUCAAAUUUGNNAUCUGGCCUCGGCCGAGUUGUAAUUUGCAGAGGAUGNUUCUGGCGCGGUGCCUUCCGAGUUCCCUGGAACGGGACGCCACAGAGGGUGAGAGCCCCGUAUGGUCGGACACCAAGCCUGUGUGAAGCUCCUUCGACGAGUCGAGUAGUUUGGGAAUGCUGCUCUAAAUGGGAGGUAAAUCUCUUCUAAAGCUAAAUACCGGCCAGAGACCGAUAGCGCACAAGUAGAGUGAUCGAAAGAUGAAAAGCACCUUGAAAAGGGGGUUAAAUAGUACGUGAAAUUGUUGAAAGGGAAGCACUUAUGACCAGACUUGGGCCGGGCGGCUCAUCAGGGGUUCUCCCCUGUGCACUCCGCCCGGCACAGGCCAGCAUCGGUUUUCGCGGGGGGAUAAGACCAACGGGAACGUAGCACCUCCGGGGUGUGUUAUAGCCCAGCGAACGAUACCUCGCGGGGACCGAGGACCGCGCUUCGGCAAGGAUGCUGGCGUAAUGGUCAUCAGUGACCCGUCUUGAAACACGGACCAAGGAGUCGUCCAUUAGAGCGAGCGUUUGGGUGUAAAACCCGCACGCGUAAUGAAAGUGAACGCAGGUGAGAGCUUCGGCGCAUCAUCGACCGAUCCAGAUGUUCUCGGAAGGAUUUGAGUAAGAGUUUUAACGGACGGACCCGAAAGACAGUGAACUAUNCUUGUAUAGGGUGAAGCCAGAGGAAACUCUGGUGGAGGCUCGCAGCGGUUCUGACGUGCAAAUCGAUCGUCAAAUAUGAGCAUGGGGGCGAAAGACUAAUCGAACUGUCUAG
rnacentral:rRNA from 1 species